UUUAACAGUCUAAUGGCCUGGAGAUAGAAGCUAUUUUUCAGCCUCUCGGGUCCAAGCUUCGAUUCACCUGUACUGCCUCUGCCUUCUGAUGGUACUGGGAGAACAGGCCGUGGCUCAGGUGGCUGAGGUCCUUCCUGUGAGUGAUGUGUUGAGUGGUACUGGGAGAACAGGUGGCUGAGGUCCUUCCUGUGAGUGAUGUGUUGAGUGGUACUGGGAGAACAGGUGGCUGAGGUCCUUCCUGUGAGUGAUGUGUUGAGUGGUACUGGGAGAACAGGUGGCUGAGGUCCUUCCUGUGAGUGAUGUGUUGAGUGGUACUGGGAGAACAGGUGGCUGAGGUCCUUCCUGUGAGUGAUGUGUUGAGUGGUACUGGGAGAACAGGUGGCUGAGGUCCUUCCUGUGAGUGAUGUGUUGAGUGGUACUGGGAGAACAGGUGGCUGAGGUCCUUCCUGUGAGUGAUGUGUUGAGUGGUACUGGGAGAACAGGUGGCUGAGGUCCUUCCUGUGAGUGAUGUGUUGAGUGGUACUGGGAGAACAGGUGGCUGAGGUCCUUCCUGUGAGUGAUGUGUUGAGUGGUACUGGGAGAACAGGUGGCUGAGGUCCUUCCUGUGAGUGAUGUGUUGAGUGGUACUGGGAGAACAGGUGGCUGAGGUCCUUCCUGUGAGUGAUGUGUUGAGUGGUACUGGGAGAACAGGUGGCUGAGGUCCUUCCUGUGAGUGAUGUGUUGAGUGGUACUGGGAGAACAGGUGGCUGAGGUCCUUCCUGUGAGUGAUGUGUUGAGUGGUACUGGGAGAACAGGUGGCUGAGGUCCUUCCUGUGAGUGAUGUGUUGAGUGGUACUGGGAGAACAGGUGGCUGAGGUCCUUCCUGUGAGUGAUGUGUUGAGUGGUACUGGGAGAACAGGUGGCUGAGGUCCUUCCUGUGAGUGAUGUGUUGAGUGGUACUGGGAGAACAGGUGGCUGAGGUCCUUCCUGUGAGUGAUGUGUUGAGUGGUACUGGGAGAACAGGUGGCUGAGGUCCUUCCUGUGAGUGAUGUGUUGAGUGGUACUGGGAGAACAGGUGGCUGAGGUCCUUCCUGUGAGUGAUGUGUUGAGUGGUACUGGGAGAACAGGUGGCUGAGGUCCUUCCUGUGAGUGAUGUGUUGAGUGGUACUGGGAGAACAGGUGGCUGAGGUCCUUCCUGUGAGUGAUGUGUUGAGUGGUACUGGGAGAACAGGUGGCUGAGGUCCUUCCUGUGAGUGAUGUGUUGAGUGGUACUGGGAGAACAGGUGGCUGAGGUCCUUCCUGUGAGUGAUGUGUUGAGUGGUACUGGGAGAACAGGUGGCUGAGGUCCUUCCUGUGAGUGAUGUGUUGAGUGGUACUGGGAGAACAGGUGGCUGAGGUCCUUCCUGUGAGUGAUGUGUUGAGUGGUACUGGGAGAACAGGUGGCUGAGGUCCUUCCUGUGAGUGAUGUGUUGAGUGGUACUGGGAGAACAGGUGGCUGAGGUCCUUCCUGUGAGUGAUGUGUUGAGUGGUACUGGGAGAACAGGUGGCUGAGGUCCUUCCUGUGAGUGAUGUGUUGAGUGGUACUGGGAGAACAGGUGGCUGAGGUCCUUACUGUGAGUGAUGUGUUGAGUGGUACUGGGAGAACAGGUGGCUGAGGUCCUUACUGUGAGUGAUGUGUUGAGUGGUACUGGGAGAACAGGUGGCUGAGGUCCUUCCUGUGAGUGAUGUGUUGAGUGUCCGUUUGUUGAUUGUCUUCUGUUCGCCCCAUAAGUCAUGAAAGUGGUCGAAUGGGUGAAGAGUGUCAAUUCGUUCGUAGGCGAAUUCCACCCAUGUCAACGUAAUUUACCUAAUGUGAGUCUCAUUUCAUACAAGCACAUUUGUUUCCACAACGGAGGAGGACGUGAGGAGUCGAGCAAAACUAAUUGAGAUUCUCCCCUACAGACGAGACCUUGGGACUCAUGGCUGCAUUUCCACAGGCAGCCCAAUUCUGAUGUUUUUUCUACUAAUUGGUCUUUCGACCAAUCACAGCAGCGCUUU